CUGAAAAUCAUGGCAAUAUUUGUGUACUAACGUUGACAUCUUAAAAGCAAUUAUGGAAAAUGCCUUUGGACAAGAACAGCAUUGAGAUAGAUGUAACUGGCGUAAUGUGUAGCUUGAUAAUGUCCUUGAAAGACACCUCCCAGAAAACACCAAAGCCCAUUGAAGGAAGAAACACUCUUAAGUUGCUCCAACCAAAAGAAUAUUGAUAAUGGGAGAAUGGCCAUUAUCUGCCUUGAAAAGAGAAAAAAUACACUGCCAAAUUCAACUGAAAUAUGGUGGUGGUGCAAAGACUUGGAAGAGAGAGAAGCAACCAUGUGGACCCUAAGGUCAGUGAAGGAAGAGAGGAGAAGGCGUGCUGGAGCAGAGACCCCCCUGCAUCCUGUGGAGAGGCCUGGUAAAGAUGAGAUUUGUUUAUACUGUGUAAAAGACUCUGUGACAGGACUAUGCCCAGAGGAGGCUGUGUCCCAUGUGAGGGACCUCGUAUUUACAGAAGCCAUAGCUGUUGGGAAGAACCCACGCCAGAGAAGUUCAUUAAGGAUUGUGUCCUGGGGGAGGAACCCCGUAUUGGACCGGGGGAAGAAUGCCAGGAGUCAUCUUCAUCUGAGAAGAGAGAAGCUGCAGAGCCCAUCUGCGAGAGACUGACCACAUCCCCCAUUCCCUGCCCCCCUGAGCCGUUGAGGGGGGAGGAGGUAGAGGUAUCAGGAGCAGUGAGCUGGGCCUGAGAAGAAAGGAGGGAUGAGGGAGGGAGAUCUUAGAGUGCUGGUAGAAAGGAGGGAUGAGGGAGGGAGAUCUUAAAGUGCUGGUUGUAAUUUUCUCAGUCA